rnacentral:rRNA from 1 species
CGUCAAGUCAGUAUGGCCCUUACGGCCAGGGCUGCACACGUGCUACAAUGCCCAGUACAGUGGGAGGCGAAACCGCGAGGUGGAGCAAAUCCUCAAAACUGGGCCCAGUUCAGAUUGGAGUCUGCAACUCGACUCCAUGAAGCCGGAAUCGCUAGUAAUCGCGGAUCAGCAAUGCCGCGGUGAAUACGUUCCCGGGUCUU